GAGACUCUUUUUCUUUCUUUCUCAAAACUAUGAAAAUAAUGUAUCUAGACUUUACUUCUUUCAUCAUCAAGGAUUUACAAGUUUGUUCAAUAUUGCUCAAAAGUGUCAAGUAUCGAGAAUUGUGAUCGAUUAUAAUCACUUAUUGGUGGAGCAUCAAACAUGUAAAUGCAUUUUUACUUAUUUCGACGGAAUAGAGCUUUCGUUGAACCAUUCAUACAUGGAGUGAUCGAGCUAUUGUUUGGACCGUAUUAACGGAUCAACAUGUAUUCAUGUUUUGAUAUCAUGUUAAUUUGUUAUGGGGUUCCAAUUCUAAAUCAAUUUGGCAAUAAAUAAAUUAACUCAUGUCUUUUAUGUAUUACUCAAAUCCAUUUUCAUCUCUGAUGUGAGACCUUUCUUCACAAUAUAUCAAAUAACUGGGUUUGAAACCUUUUUCGAAAAUUACUAUUAAUAUUAUUAACUCCAUAAUGUUUU
rnacentral:misc_RNA from 1 species